rnacentral:rRNA from 1 species
CACGUAGGGCGCAAGCGUUGUCCGGAAUUAUUGGGCGUAAAGAGCUCGUAGGUGGUUUGUUACGUCCGCUGUGAAAACCUAGGGCUUAACCCUGGGCUUGCAGUGGAUACGGGCAGACUAGAGGUAGGUAGGGGAGAAUGGAAUUCCUGGUGUAGCGGUGAAAUGCGCAGAUAUCAGGAGGAACACCGGUGGCGAAGGCGGUUCUCUGGGCCUUACCUGACGCUGAGGUGCGAAAGCGUGGGGAGCAAACAGG